AUUGAACGCUGGCGGCAGGCCUAACACAUGCAAGUCGAACGAGUGGCGGACGGGUGAGUAAUGUCUGGGAAACUGCCUGAUGGAGGGGGAUAACUACUGGAAACGGUAGCUAAUACCGCAAACCAUCGGAUGUGCCCUUGUGGGAUUAGCUAGUAGGUGGGGUAAAGGCUCACCUAGGCGACGAGCCCUAGCUGGUCUGAGAGGAUGACCAGCCACACUGGCACUGAGACACGGUCCAGACUCCUACGGGAGGCAGCAGUGGGGAAUAUUGCACCAUGGGCGCAAUCCUGAUGCAGCCAUGCCGCGUGUAUGAAGAAGGCCUUCGGGUUGUAAAGUACUUUCAGCGGGGAGGCGUUACCCGCAGAAGAAGCACCGGCUAACUCCGUGCCAGCAGCCGCGGUAAUUC
rnacentral:rRNA from 1 species